GCUUGACUGUAGCUUGUAAUUGGGUUCGGGCUUUUUUGCGCAGCCUAGGUGGGAGGCAACGAUGAUUUUUUUCCGGAAAAUUUGAGCCGUUAGUGAGAGACCACUCUGAAAAGGCUAGAAUCCUAAUAAUGAUCCUUGAAUCAGGACAUUUGACAGUUGCAGGUGGGCAGUUUUACUGGGGCGGUAUUCUCCUAAAAAGUAACGGAGGGGUGCAAAGGUUCCCUCAAGCUGGACGGAAAUCAGCUUAAGAGUGUAAAGGCAAAAGGGAGCUUGACUGCAAGACCUACAAGUCGAGCAGGGGCGAAAGCCGGCCUUAGUGAUCCGACGGUACCACGUGGAAGGGCCGUCGCUCAACGGAUAAAAGUUA
rnacentral:rRNA from 1 species